rnacentral:rRNA from 1 species
UACGUAGGGUGCAAGCGUUAAUCGGAAUUACUGGGCGUAAAGCGUGCGCAGGCGGUUGUGUAAGACAGAUGUGAAAUCCCCGGGCUCAACCUGGGAACUGCAUUUGUGACUGCACGGCUCGAGUGCGGCAGAGGGGGAUGGAAUUCCGCGUGUAGCAGUGAAAUGCGUAGAUAUGCGGAGGAACACCGAUGGCGAAGGCAAUCCCCUGGGCCUGCACUGACGCUCAUGCACGAAAAGCGUGGGGGAGCAAACAGG